AGAAGUAUUUUUAGGAUUAAAAAUAAACACAAACUGUAAUAGACCGCGAGUAAUGCAAAAUGUGCACUGGUCGAUUCUUAUCGAAUUUGAGAUCAACCGUGGUCAUAUUAGAGUUAUCUUCUCUUGGUUCGUGAACAGACGAACUGUUGUUUACCUUUUGGCCUUCAUCACACUUCACAGCCUAACUGAGUCUCUACCAUACGGUACUAUUUUUGGGCCAUAUUUUUAGUUUAAUUGUAAAAGGAAUGGCUAAUAACAGAUACUGGCCAAGGGAAACGUAUCACACAUCGCAAAACAUCUUUCCCCGACAAGGGACUGAGAGCCCACAAAGGAAGUGUAUGUAAUGUUAAAUAUUAAUGACAUUGUGUGAUUGAAGAGAGGAAUAUACCACAUCACAAACAUCGAAUUCCAAAGUUUUAUUAGAUAGUUAUCAGACAAGUACGAAACUAGAUUCAUAUCGCACCAAUUCAGGGAGUCCAAUUCAACAUGUUUCUCCUUCAACGAAAUACCCAAGAAAUGUUGCAGACUUAGAUCGUUAUCAAACCCAGAAUAGUACCGAUGGCAGAAACGUGACUUAUAACAGGGCUGGAUAUGACGAUAAAUUCUAUAACACCAGAAUGAGCCAGCAAAAUUAUCCUCCUCAUAGUCAUAGAUAUCCAGUGGCAUCUCAUUAUGAAACAAGAUAUCACGAUAGACAUACAAGGGGAGAUCACUCAAAACCAAAUUAUCAUCCUAAUCAAAAUCAUUGGUAUCCGGAGUCGGGACGAAACCACCAGCAUCAUAACUCAUUUCCGAACCAAGCGCACUGUGAUAGAUAUGAAACUUCAGCGAGUUCUAGUCAAAGUAGUCGUAACCACCAUUCCUAUGAUCCCAUUCCUCAUUCUAGAAUGGACCAUUAUGUGACCAGUUCUCGGUGGAAUUAGUGCCUUCAACAAGUCUUAUGUGAUAAAUAAAUAUGGUUGUUACUAUUUUACUAAGUGAAUUGUUUCAAUGGCAUUUAGUUGAUUGAACUGUAAUACACAGGUCGCAAUUCUAAGGAAUUACUGCUUAUUAAACAUGCAUUAUGCAAGAGCUAAAUCUGCCUAUUGCAGGUCUUACUUUAGGCCUAGAUUAUUAAUUAGACAUUAAUUAAGUUAUCCAGACCAUAAUCAACUCUCGAUGCCAUGGUUAGCCUGCAAUAUUUAGUGGAUUUGAAUACAUUUUGUGAUGGAUAAUUUAACGUAAAAAUGGAUAAUUGAGACUUUGUUUAUUAUCGCACCAAAGUUAGUAAUGACGUUUGAGGCUAGCCUAAAAUUGAAUCGCUAAUAUCUCAUUUCAGUGUUAAGCAAUUUGACUGAAUCUUAACUAAUGCUCCUUUAAUGUGAGUUUCGACUAGGCUUCUCUAGUCUUUAUCAAACAAUAUGCUAGUCGAAACAUCACACAUUAAAGAUAUAUUAUGGGAGAUUCGAUAAAGAGCUGGCAGUUCUCACUAUAAUAGUUAAAAACUGGAUAAUGUAAAGGGAAAUUUCAGUUAAAUUGAUCCCAGCGAUUUUAGCGAUUGAAUUUUCACCUAACCUCGAUCAUCAUUACUAAAGUUGGUAAGAUAAAAAACAUAGUCUCGAUUAUCCAUUUCAUGAUUAAAUCAUGAAUGGAAGUCAAACAGCAAAUCGGAACCUAAAUCAAUAAACAUCGCAAGCUAGCGAUGACAUCGAGAGUUCAUUAUGGUCUCGAUAAGUUAAUUAAUGUCAAAUUAAUAAUUUGGAUAACAUUUCAGGCCUAAAGACAGACCUGCGAUAGGCAGAUUUAGCUCUUGCAUAAUGUAUGUUUAAUAAACAGCAAUUGUUUUCCAGAGAAUUGUGACCUGUGUAUAAAAAAGUGGUGCCCAUGUAGAUGGACGUUUUGUACACACAGGUUAGAUAAUUUACACACAGGCCUGGAAAUUUUUUUUUUUUCAAUGUACUAGGCACACUUUUUUUACCAGAUAUAUAUACAUAGUGUUAAGCAAAUCUAGGCUUUUCCCUGCGUCAACAUCGAAGUCUGAAGUUGAUGAUGGUAACAUUUUUCAUCCAUUAAAGAUGGCAGCCAUUUCAUUUACCGCUAUUCCAUAUACCCUUAGUCAUACUACCUGACAUUUAAAUUUAGUGUCAAAUAUGUAUAAAAUAUGUCAUAUAAAAAGACUGAAAGAAAAGAAAUCUGUGCCAGACAAAAUGACAGGUGCUAUAGAGAUUGUACCCGACAAAGUCUGAAGUUGUGUCUGACAUUAUCUGUGAAAGAUGCCUUAUUUCCAGGCUUGGUCAGGCACUAUUGAACUACUACCUAACAUUUUAACUUUGUGUCAGACAUGUAUAAAAUAUUUCAAUAGAAACCCAGAAAAAAGAAAGUAUCUGUUCUGGAUAAAAUGACAUGUACAAGCAGGAUUGUACAUAACAGAACCUGAAGUUGUACCUGACAUUGUCUGUGACAGGUUCUCUAUUUCCAGGCUUGCUAACACAUACAUUUUGUGGUUGUUGGGUUGUUAAAAUAUUAAUAUAUAUAUAUACAUGUUGUUUGUUUUAAAACAUUUAGUGACAGUUGAUCUCACACCUUGACAAUGUCAAGUUAAUACAACAAACAUCUGCUGUUAAUUUUCGAAUAUUUGGUUUAACUUAAAAAUUUAUCAGAAUUAAGACAGCAAGUUGCCCAAAUUCAUUGUUGUCUGUUUUGUUAUUGCGCGAGGUCUUAAGUAUUAUAGUAUUCAAAAAGUAAACUGCAAGCGAUUUCAUUUUAAAAUCAUACAAUUAUAUUUCUAUGAUACAUGGUCUCAUUCUCUGAUGUUUGUGUCCGAAAAAUGGACGGUUCCUAGGCUCCUACGCCUAUGGUAACAGUAAGGUACCAGAUGUUUGUCAUAAUAGCAUAACGUUAAGUGUGGUUUAAAGGUUGUGAGUGAGAAAUUAACGAAGUAUUAUAUCAAUACUCCUCGAGACCUAUUCACAACUAAAAAUACAGAUUACAAAAAAUGUGACUGCUAUCUUCUAUAGUAUGAUAUAUUGUAGGAUUGGGAAGAUGGUGGUUAUGUGAUAGUGUAAGCUAUAUUUUCAGUUGUUCUAAAAGGUCAUCUUCUAUAAAUAUUGCAGGAUUGGCACAUUUGAAAUAAUGGUAUGCCAACAUCAGAGGAUGACGUCACAUCUGUGUGUGAAUAAUUAUCAUAAUAUUAUUAAUUAUAUAAUGACUACAUAAUAACAGUCUUGCCAUUUGGCCUGUUGGAAUUGUUUUAUUUCCUACUAACAAGCAACUGUGAUGAUGUAGAUGGAAAAAAAGAAUUCUGUUGUUAAUGUUAUUGUUAAAAAAUGUAAAUAUUGUUACAUUGUAUCUAUGUAUCGUCAUGGGAACCACAGCAGCUCAGAGAGUAAAGUGUCUGCUCGCUAAACCAGGGGGUCCAGGUGUUGGCCAGGAAUGUUCCUCAGGAUUUUCCAGCAUGGUUUCCCCUGUCAAUCUGGCAAGGAACAGCAUCUAGACAUUCAGAUGGGAUAAGUAAAAGAACCCUUGGGAUUUGGAAUUACACAAAGCCAGCCAGCUACGUCCUCACUUAACCACUGUGGUUCCCCCAGACCUGACUGGACAUGGCUUAUAUCACCAUAAUAAAAACAAAACCCAUUGUGUUGAUCUGGUUGAUCUUAUUAGUUCAGUAGUUGUGGAGCAAGCUCGAUGUGAUUAAUUAUUUGUGUCGAUUACCUUAUAGAUAUUAUGUUCUCCUUGAAGACAGAUCAACAAAUCUAAUGAAAUCAUUAAAAAAAACAAUUUGACCCAAAUAAAAGAGGGUUAGCCAUUUUAAGUUUUAAUUUUGUUUUAAAUCUUGUUUUUAUUCAUUGAAAACCAGCAGGUUGUAUUUUAUUUUUUGGUAAUUGUUUUGCUUAUUUUCUGCAAUAUUAAUGUUUUAAUUUUAAUUAGUAAUGGUUAUUUUGGAGUACCAUAAUUUUGAUUCUAGUUCAACCUUUGUUUAGUUUACAAAACUUUACAAAAAAAGAUAAAUAUGCAAUAAUAUAUAUCUUUGGAAUUUAGGCAGAUGACAUCAGCCUCACUGUUUAUUUGUUUUAAUUAUUAUGGUUUACUGGUAAACCAAACAUACUCCAUGUUUUUAUUAGAUAUGGUUGUUCAAGUUAAUGUUGAAGUUGAGUCAUUCAUUGAACUUUGACCUUUUGUUAUGUUGAUUUAGAAUUGAUUUUACAAUUAUUGCUCAACAUAUAUAUAUAUAUGUAGCAAAAACAGAUAUUGUUAUAUUAUAGGCUAGUGCACCUUAUGCUUAAAGAGCACAUAGAAAGACAAUAUCAACCUGAUAUUAGUUAAAACCUGUGUUUACUAAAAACCCUGUACAACAAUUUCACACCAAUCUGAUUAAAAUUAUGUGUCAGACACUCUAAAACAACCUUAAUCCAGUUGAUUGGCGCAUGAUGUCACAGGGUCUACACUAAUGUUUAUUGACAGUUCUUUUAACAUAGUGAAUGAGGGGAGGUCUAUAUGUGCGACAUUGUGUGAAGAAUGGAGAUUAAUUAUGACUGGAUUUGAAUUAAAUUGUGUAUAUAAUAAAUACUGCAUGGCUUACAUAGCACUUUGAUUUGGUCAUUUUAUAUAUUCUUUAAACUACUAUUAUAUAAUAUCUACCUGCCUUAUUAGGGUACACUUAUUAAAACAUACUUUUUGUCUGCGAUAUCACUUCUGUGGAAGCGGAUUUCUUCUUUUGUUUUUUUCAGAUGUUAGUGAUAUUGAUCGUACUAUAUUUUUUUUAUUAUUAGAUUAUUUAUUAAAGCUCAAAUAUUAAAUUUACUGUUACAACUAAAUAGGCAUACAGGCUUUAUAUGUAUGUCCCAUUCUAUACAUUCCAGAUAUUAUUUAUAUAAGGAGUAGCCAAACUUUUACAUACUAUCUGUCAAUUUGUUCAACUCUGAUAAAAAUAUGUAUACAAUUAGCAUUUUAACAUGAUAAAAUUAUCAAAUAUAAAAACAAUAUCUGAUAAAGCAAUCUUUAAAUAAAAACUAAAGGGACAUAAUCGUGUUGAUUUUAUUGGGGUUUUUUUUGUUUUAAAGUCAUGGAUCAUCAUUUGAGGUGAUUAAUAACUUUCAGUAUAUCACAGAUGGAGAUAAUGUAAGCCAUAAUAGCAAAUAUUAUGUGAUCCUUGUUGUAAAAGUAUGUAAUACCAAGGUUGUGGACCCUCUUGAGGUCACAAUUUUUGUCUGAUUUUGAAGAAACUUGAAAUAAAUGUUUAUUUUUAUAUAUUUUUUUUUUUAGCUUGUCCUCUACCCAUUUCUUGCAAAAUGUGGGUGUAUCUUGCAUGGCAACUGCUGGUUUUAUGUCUGGGGGAUGUGAAUUCUACAUAUUGAAGUGGGAGUAACCCCAAUAUAAUAAUAAUGAUAAUGUCCACUGCAUUGACAUUUGCUUUAUAUACAAUGAUGCUUGGCGUAAGGGCAAAUCACUGCCUUUUUAAAACAUUUUACUAACCCAAAAUAUAUUAGAUAUAUUUUCAUGAAAUACAGUUAUUGUUGUCAUCAUUCCAUGAAUGUUUAAGCCAAUGUAAUAGUGUUUAUGCUGUUUUAAGCCGUAAUUCUCAAAAAUGCCUUAUAUUGAUGCGUUUGAGUGGUUUCCGGUUCUAGUCAGUCUUGUUUGGUCAAUAUGGUUGAAACCCCUGCCAAAAUGUAUUUACCACAUUUAUUAAAGAUGCAUUAUGUAAGAUUUAGAUAAAGAACGGGACAUUCUGGCUAUAAUAGUUCAUAAAUAGAUGAUGAAAAUUAAUACACUGAAAAUUUCCUUCAAAUUACCUUUUUCUGAGCGAAGUUAUCAGUGUUUGAAGUUGUAGCAUAGAUUGUUUAUUAUCGUGAUAAGUCAGAUAUUUCAAUUGAUAAACGAUGUAUAUUUCAAUUGUUUUAGUUGAUAAACGAGAUAUAUUUCAUUGAUGAAGAAAAUAUUUUAGUUGAUAAAUGAGAGAUUUAUUUGAUGAAGAAGAUAUUUCAGUUGAUAAAUGAGAUCUUUCAGUUGAUAAAUGAAAUAUAUUUUAGUUCAUAAUGAGAUACUUCAAUUGAAAAAGGAGAUACUUCAAUUGAAAAAGGAGAUACUUCAGAUAAAACCUGAGAUUGUUCAGUUAAAACCUGAGAUUGUUUAGUUGUUAACUAAGAUAUAUUUUAAUUGAUAAAUGAGAUAUUUCAGUUGAUGACCAAGAAUCAUUUCUGUUUAUAAAUUAUUUAUGUAAUCUUCUAUUUGUAUUAAAGCUAUAUUUAUUCCCUAGUAAGUUACUUCUUUUAUGUUUAGAAACAAAAGUCAUAUUUUGAAAAGUUAAACGAUGUCUUUGCGGUAAAAUAAAAUUGUGUCUGUUGUCUUAUGUAUCAUUCUACUGCCGGGUGUUGGGUGGCCAAAUGGUCUAACAUGUGGGCAUUAGAUCAUAAGAUCUGUCAUUCAGUCAAGUGGCAUAGUUUCGAUUCC